rnacentral:rRNA from 1 species
AUACGGAGGAUGCAAGCGUUAUCCGGAUUUAUUGGGUUUAAAGGGUGCGUAGGCGGUUUGCUAAGCGGGAGGUGAAAUGCCGGCGCUCAACGUCGGAAGUGCCUCCCGAACUGGUGGACUUGAAUGACUCUGCCGUGGGAGGAAUGUGUAGUGUAGCGGUGAAAUGCUUAGAGAUUACACAGAACACCGAUUGCGAAGGCAUCUCACGAAGGGUUGAUUGACGCUGAGGCACGAAAGCGUGGGGAUCAAACAGGAUUAGAUACCCUGGUAGUCCACGCAGUAAACGAUGAAUACUAGGUGCUGGGUCCCACAGGGGUUCGGUGCCGCCGCUAACGCAUUAAGUAUUCCACCUGGGGAGUACGUUCGCAAGAAUGAAACUCAAAGGAAUUGACGGGG